rnacentral:rRNA from 1 species
UACGUAGGGAGCGAGCGUUGUUCGGAUUUACUGGGCGUAAAGGGUGUGUAGGCGGUUGGUUAAGUUUGGUGUGAAAUCUCCCGGCUUAACCGGGAGGGUGCGCCGAAUACUGAGUGACUUCGAGUGCGGGAGAGGAAAGUGGAAUUCCUGGUGUAGCGGUGAAAUGCGUAGAUAUCAGGAGGAACACCGGUGGUGUAGACGGCUUUCUGGACCGUAACUGACGCUGAGACACGAAAGCGUGGGUAGCAAACAGG